CCUACGGGAGACAGCAGUGAGGAAUAUUGGUCAAUGGGCGGAAGCCUGAACCAGCCAAGUAGCGUGCAGGAUGACGGCCCUACGGGUUGUAAACUGCUUUUAUACGGGAAUAACGCGCCUUACGUGUAGGGCUUUGCAUGUACCGUAUGAAUAAGGACCGGCUAAUUCCGUGCCAGCAGCCGCGGUAAUACGGAAGGUCCGGGCGUUAUCCGGAUUUAUUGGGUUUAAAGGGAGCGUAGGCCGCAUGUCAAGCGUGCUGUGAAAUGUCCGGGCUCCACCCGGGCCUUGCGGCGCGAACUGGCGUGCUUGAGGGCGCGGAAGGCAGGCGGAAUGCGGCGUGUAGCGGUGAAAUGGUUAGAUAUGACGAAGAACCCCGAUUGCGAAGGCAGCUUGCUGCAGCGGAACUGACGCUGAUGCGCGAAAGCGCGGGUAUCGAACAGGAUGAGAUACCCUGGUAGUG
rnacentral:rRNA from 1 species